rnacentral:rRNA from 1 species
GAUGAACGCUGGCGGCGUGCCUAAUACAUGCAAGUCGAGCGAACAGAUGAGGAGCUUGCUCCUCUGACUUUAUCGGCGGACGGGUGAGUAACACGUGGAUAACCUACCUAUAAGACUGGGAUAACUUCGGGAAACCGGAGCUAAUACCGGAUAAUAUAUUGAACCUCAUGGUUCAAUAGUGAAAGACGGUUUUGCUGUCACUUAUAGAUGGAUCCGCGCCGCAUUAGCUAGUUGGUAAGGUAACGGCUUACCAAGGCAACGAUGCGUAGCCGACCUGAGAGGGUGAUCGACCACACUGGAACUGGGACAGGGUCCAGACUCCGACGGGAGGCAGCAGUAGGGAAUCUUACGCAAUGGGCGAAAGCCUGACGGAGCAACGCCGCGGGAGUGAUGAAGGACUUAGGAUCGUAAAACUCUGUUAUUAGGGAAGAACAAAUGUGUAAGUAACUAUGCACGUCUUGACGGUACCUAAUCAGAAAGCCACGGCUAACUACGUG